GCGCACUUAGCUCAGUGCAGUUAGAGCACCCUCCUAGAUAUAGGGAUCAGGUUGUGGGUUCAAGUCCCGCAGUGCACA
rnacentral:tRNA from 1 species